rnacentral:rRNA from 1 species
GAUGAACGCUGGCGGCGUGCCUAAUACAUGCAAGUCGAGCGAACGGACGAGAAGUUUGCUUCUCUGAUGUUAGCGGCGGACGGGUGAGUAACACGUGGAUAACCUACCUAUAAGACUGGGAUAACUUCGGGAAACCGGAGCUGAUACCGGAUAAUAUUUUGAACCGCAUGGUUCAAAAGUGAAAGACGGUCUUGCUGUCACUUAUAGAUGGAUCCGCGCUGCAUUAGCUAGUUGGUAAGGUAACGGCUUACCAAGGCAACGAUGCAUAGCCGACCUGAGAGGGUGAUCGGCCACACUGGAACUGCGACACGGUCCAGACUCCUACGGGAGGCAGCAGUAGGGAAUCUUCCGCAAUGGGCGAAAGCCUGACGGAGCAACGCCGCGUGAGUGAUGAAGGUCUUCGGAUCGUAAAACUCUGUUAUUAGGGAAGAACAUAUGUGUAAGUAACUGUGCACAUCUUGACGGUACCUAAUCAGAAAGCCACGGCUAACUACGUG